GGUUAAGCGACUAAGCGUACACGGUGGAUGCCCUGGCAGUCAGAGGCGAUGAAGGACGUGCUAAUCUGCGAUAAGCGCCGGUAAGGUGAUAUGAACCGUUAUAACCGGCGAUUUCCGAAUGGGGAAACCCAGUGUGACUCGUCACACUAUCAUUAACUGAAUCCAUAGGUUAAUGAGGCGAACCGGGGGAACUGAAACAUCUAAGUACCCCGAGGAAAAGAAAUCAACCGAGAUUCCCCCAGUAGCGGCGAGCGAACGGGGAGGAGCCCAGAGCCUGAAUCAGCAUGUGUGUUAGUGGAAGCGUCUGGAAAGGCGCGCGAUACAGGGUGACAGCCCCGUACACAAAAGCGCACAUGCUGUGAGCUCGAUGAGUAGGGCGGGACACGUGGUAUCCUGUCUGAAUAUGGGGGGACCAUCCUCCAAGGCUAAAUACUCCUGACUGACCGAUAGUGAACCAGUACCGUGAGGGAAAGGCGAAAAGAACCCCGGCGAGGGGAGUGAAAAAGAACCUGAAACCGUGUACGUACAAGCAGUGGGAGCCCCACCACUAAGCCAGUGGUGAAAUCCACAUACGCAUCCUUUGCUGAGGAUACGGUUAACGGAGCGCAAGCGACGUUCAACCUCAAAAGAAGCAGAGGGGGCUUAGUGGUGG
rnacentral:rRNA from 1 species